GGCCUGGUAGUGUAGCGGUAACACAUGCUCUGAGAAUUGAUCUCGUAUGCAUUUGUCUAUGCAAGUCCCUUGUUUAACUCAAGGUCAGGCUG